GUGGGGAAUAUUCCGCAAUGGACGAAAGUCUGACGGAGCAACGCCGCGUGAGUGAUGAAGGUUUUCGGACUGUAAAGCUCUGUUGUUUGGGACGAAAGUGCCUGUUGCGAACAGUUACGUGUAUUGACGGUACUAAACGAGGAAGCCACGGCUAACUACGUGCCAGCAGCCGCGGUAAUACGUAGGUGGCAAGCGUUGUCCGGAAUUAUUGGGCGUAAAGAGCAUGUAGGCGGGAAUCUAAGUCUGUUGUUAAAAUGCGGGGCUCAACCCCGUAUUGCGAUGGAAACUGGGUUUCUUGAGUGCAGGAGAGGAAAGGGGAAUUCCCAGUGUAGCGGUGAAAUGCGUAGAUAUUGGGAGGAACACCAGUGGCGAAGGCGCCUUUCUGGACUGUGUCUGACGCUGAGAUGCGAAAGCCAGGGUAGCGAACGGGAUUAGAUACCCCUGUAGUCC
rnacentral:rRNA from 1 species